GGGGGGAGCACAGGAUCCUGGGCUGUGUCCCCCGGUGCCCUGGGAUCCCGGGCCUGCACCACUGGAAUUGCACUCCCGGGGCUGCGCAGCCCCCU
rnacentral:pre_miRNA from 1 species